CGGUUAUUCGCGUCGACAGGGGAUGAGAACGCUGGUCGGACCUGUGUCACUUCCGGACCUGGUUGGUGACGUGCACUGGGCUGUAUAUCUGGCAUGCGUCUCCUUUCAGUUGCCAGAGAAUUUGCUUAUUCCGCCGUAUUCCGGAAGCCAAUAUCUAUCUACAUCGGUACCCACUAGGCGCCGUUACUCGUCCACAAGUCUGCAACUGUGGGUCAUGAGGUCAGUGGCAUGCUCUUUGGCUUGUCAUAUGUUGGGUAGACCAACCACACAUGUCGACAGUCUUCAGAAGACAUCGCUUGCGCAAGUAGGCAGUGUCGCAGGACUAGUUGUCACUCUUGCAGUAGGAAGAACCGAAGGGCCUCUCGCUAGUUUAUUUCCGGGAAUGGUCGAACGUGCAUUUUCCAACUGGCGUGGGAAGAAUGUAAGACUAUUUGGUGUCAGUUCCAUUAAUACACUCAGCCACAAUCUUCGUGGAAGUACGCACCCUGACGUGCUGAGGAAAUGCUGCUGACAAAUCACUGCUCUAUUUGCGGGGUUGCUUUUAUGAAAUACGUCCUCAUAUGCAGUAUUCUAGUGUUAGCAUUCUUUCAGAUAACGUCUGUUUGUGUUGGAUCUCACGGUGCAAGCUCCGAGAGCGUACUUACUGAUGAAGAACAUCUCGUACGCAAAUUUUGAUUCAACAAUAGAAUGUUCCUUUCGGUGACUGGAUGUCAGCUACAAAAGCACAACUUCCUUCAACAGGCGCAUGGUGGAAACGGAAGAUCGUUACGAUUUCACGUUGACAUACGUGGAGGCACGUACCAUCCUGAAAGCAGCGAACUAAAUGAAGCAAGCCGGCAAGCUGGCGCGCAAGCGAUAGCAGAAGAUGGGCUUAGACGCUCAUUAUCGUGACCGCUGCUCGACGAUGGCGAAAGCUGAUUUUGUGGUAAACGACGCGGUUAUUUGCAUCUUCACUUCGACACGGUACUGAAAUUGCGUAACCUUCCUUGCUGAGGAACAUCAAAACGCGGCAUCCUGUGAGCUAUCUCCAAUAUUUGUAAACUCAAAUAAGUAUUUUCUCAGGUGACAAGACAAUCUUUGAUUCGUCUGGAUGUCUUCCGACGUCUGCGGUUCCCUGCACAAUUGCUAGUUCAGCUCUGUUGCACUAAUGAGUCACAGAAUGUGAGUUCUUCGUUGUUUUUGGGGAUGCGAUGACGUGGGUGUUUUACGAAGUGUCACGAGUUUGGCAAUGUGGUUGUGUUCUCGGGAACCACACUGACGGCUGAAGGGCACUUGGAAGGAUCUGCGUUUGCCACGGGUACGAGUCGCAAACACCCUUUGUCAGGAGAGAACACCUCAGUGCUUCCGAUGAACUGAAGCGACACGAACAUGAUUCAAACGGAUGAAGCUAGAAGGAUGACUGAUGUGUCGGUCUGGCUAUCUUGGCUGCCUACGCAGAACAGUGUUCGGUGUUGUUCACGGCGUCAGCGCGUUCUGCUGGAAGGACACAGAAGGAUUUCAUUGCUUUGCGCUCGGACCGAUGUCGCACGGUGAACAUGGUGAGCAAAAAUUGACGUUGGUGCCGCUUGCGAAUCUGCAGAUGCCGCGUGCCUGGGAAGAGUAUACUGCCUUGAAGGCAUCCAUUGGCGUUUGCGUGUUCAGUACUCUACACCUGACAGAAGCAGGCACUGACGGAGCCACUCCGUACAACCCACUGUGAUAUACACUUCGUAGUCACUCAUGAAAAGAGAGCCUAUACCUAUUGAUGCGGCGGAAUGCUGUGCAGAUGCGAUCAGAACAGAUGUGUGACAAACCACCUCAUCCUCGCGGCGAAUGAUGUACGAGCAAAGGGUCACUUGUUUCGCCAGCUGCUGGUACAUGCGUUUCGUGUUUCUUUUUUGUCGGAAACCGGAGCAACGGGAAAAUCUUUUACGUUCGGCCGAUGCAAUGGGUACGCGGAAGCCAACGUAGAGUUGCCUCGGAGGAAUUGAGCAGUACACAGGAAGAUGUGACGAUACGCCAUUACCUGUAUCUCUCCAACCCUCAGGGAGUGAGUGGAUAUCAUUCUGAUCGUACACUGCAGGCGAUCCGUUGUCUUUGUUGUAUGUCACGGCCAAAACUAGAGUACUUUUUCCCGGUGACUUCUACAAACAAGGAAGCUUUGCGCAGCAAUGAUUCACUCUGAUAUAUCAACGAGAGGGAUGGAUAUACGUACCGACGUGUUGUACGGGCUCCGUGGUUCUCUAUUCUUGUGGCUGUGAUGUCGCACUUCCGAUUGUAGAGAUUGAAGCUGGGGGAUGCAGUGGCAAAAUGUAUACUUCACCGGCAAACAUGCAAACUACCUCGUGUUCAGCUCACGUGUACGAGGACAGAUUGCGUCAUUGUUAUAGUGCGGAUCCUUUCGUCCUUUUAUGACGUGAAAUGCAUAUUCCGUAGCUUCUGCCGCUAAAGAUUGACUGGAACUGUUUCCCUUUAUGUCUUCGUGAAGAUUGUGAGCGGUGACGUGGGCGCAGUGACGUCCCCCUGAUAGAGUCCAGUGACGGACAUGACUGCAUUCUGCAACUACGUCGAGGCACCAGUUGCUCAGGAAUGUUUCUGGGAGUUUGGUGCUGGCCACAAAGACGACAGAACCUGAUUACUGUUGUAGCGCUGGUCGGUGGCACCCCGCCGUGCAAGAGAAAGAGCCCGCUUGCGUGGUAGGACGACUGGGCUGUCACCGUCUUUCAAGUGCGAGCUAACAUUUCGACGCCGAACUACAGGAACAUUGUCUUUUUUGGUCCAGUAGCAAUCGGAUAUAUCACUGACCGGAGAAGCACGAACAUCGUACGGUUCGUCCUGGAAAGGCAGCUGUUGAUGCUGUGCAGGUGCAAUGGCAGGUUCAUGUAGCAAAACAGGAAGAGUUAACAAGAACAGGUACUGGGAUCCGGGUAGUUGACACCGAGCACCGUGAAAAAGGGGCACCCAGCCAUGUACUUGACGCCUCAACGCCAAUAGGUCUCGUUUGAAUUCCUUUUGCCACAUGGCUCAGCAAAUCCCGCCACAAUGAAGGUAUUACUUAGAGAAGCCAUCGAACGGGGGCUUGACUGUGUAUCACUUCGAUCUCCAGAAAAGUGUUUCAGGCUUAAAGGCAUAGCAUCCUGAUCGUAACUGUUGAUUGUGGUACACCAUUUUCUCCCGAGUCGUAACUGUGGUAGCGUCACUGUGGGCAGCCACUUCCACCCUUCCUACGCUGCAAUCAACGGAAACCAUAAUUGUCGGUCUUGCAUUCACACAUUGGCGUUUCUUGCCCCUGUAGCAAGUAAGAGUUUCUUGCUGUAAGAAACAAAUCCAAACCUCAUCAACGUCAAGAUAGGAACAUCGCUGAACCAUAAGAUAAUGCCGUUUCUGCGAUGCAUAGUCGCAUACAUCACAGCGCAUGAACUAAUCAAAAGAGUGAUAUUUAGCGCUCACCAGCUGAUGCGCGCACUAUUUGACUUCGGAACGGAAUACCAUUGGAUAUUGUUUACGUGAAAUCUGUUUGGGAAUUUAGCUGUGCGAGCUCAACACAAGAGUCAACAGGGUUGGAUAAGGUGCUUGAGCUUUGGAAUAUCCUAAACGCAUGUGACACUCUGGCAUUCAUCUGAAAGUUGGAAGAAUGUGAUUUGUCUUGGAGUUUCAUCUUGCUUGCAGCGAACUGCUCGAAGUCAUUUCUUGGACUUGCACAAUUUCUCUUGGCCGGUGCAGGGCGUGAGCGAAACAGUGCUGACGCGUAGCAGUCCCAUUGUCUGGUUAACUUCGCCGUUUAACAACAGAUGGGACAACAAAACACAUGAUGCAACAAGCAAAAUUGGUUUCUGUUAGCUCUUCCUCAUUCACAAUCAGGCAGUAAGCAUUGAGCCCA
rnacentral:lncRNA from 1 species